CUGGGGGCGUGUCGUGGCGGGAGGGGCGUGUCCUGGGGCGGGGCGAGCGCGCUGGGCGGAAGCGGCGCCUGGAUUCAAAGUGGCGGUUGGCGGAAGCUGCUUCCGGGCGCGCGGAGCCUUGGCGUGCGGGGGGAGGGGGUGUCUCUGAGUUGCCAUGGUGACGGGGCUGUGGAUGAGGGGCUGGCUUCCCCUGUGACUGGGAUGCUGUCACCUGCGAAGCAGCAGCCCUGUGCCCGGAGCAUGGCAGUGGGACAGCCUGUAGGGGACAAAGCGAGGUGUCUGUGGGUGGCAGUGAACCAGGCGGUACUGGCUGAGAGGAACCAGAGUGUGGCCCCUGUGGGGGUUUGGGUGGAGAGCGCCCAAACUGGUGGCAAAUGGGAGGAGAGCAUUGCUUUCGCUUCAGCGUUUCAGGUUGAAGAGGACCUAAAGGAGCAGCAAAAGGAAAAAGAGGAAAAUCUGAAACGCUUCCAGGGGGAAGUAAAGCAGAGGGUGAAUCAGCAAAUCAAGAUGAGGAGAAAGCAGCAGCUCCAGAAAUCCUGUGAAGCGGCAGAAAAAGAAAGCUCUGUUGUGAUGCAGUGUUCGGAUUCUGCGCUUCACUUGACCCCCAAGAGGAAUACAUGUGUGUAUCGAAGUAAUGCGGCAUCUGCCAUUUGCAGUUCUGGUACCAACUUGAUCCCUGUGCAGCAGCUUUGUGUGAGCUGGGAGGAAGAGGGAAGAGAGAAGCAAAGCCAGUUAUUCCAUCAACAAGCCAACACACUUAGUAAAACCAUGAAACAGGUCCGUCGCCGGCUAGCAUCCUGCAAAACAGUGCCCAAAGGAGCGGGCCUGCCCGAACUUCCAGGAGGCGUCUGGGGUGUCAGCCCAACCAGAAACAAACCAGUGUCUCGCAGGCCAACUCCAGUGCAUGGAGAAGAGUGUGAGGAGUUUCCUCUGGCAGGACGUCAUGACCUUCCCGCUGAACUACAAGACCAGGCAACAGCCAGAAAGCAGGCCGAGCAGGGUGAUGACAACUUGUACUACAAACUAGAAUUUGGAAAAGUUUAUAAUGGAUUAAUGAAGGCGUCAGACCCUGCUGGCCCGUCUGCAGGUUUGAGCAUUGAUUGCCAAGCUCCCCUUGUACUUUGGCCUGGGAUAGACAGAGAAGAAACCAAGAAACAACGUCAAAAUCAGUACCUGAGAUACAGACGUCUCUUCAUGGAUAUUGAGAGAGAACAAGUAAAGGAACAGCAAAGGCAGAAAGAGCAUCAGAAGAAAAUUGCAAAAAUUAAGAGUGAGAAGGAGCACCAGCGUCGUGCAGAGGAGCAGAGGAUCCAGGAGAUGGCCUACCAGCAAGACACCUGUUCUGGGGAGAAAGCAUGUGAAAUACUGGCUCAGCUCAGACUGGAGGAGAGAAGAGUGAGGAAAAGUAAGGAAAAGCAACAGAGAAAUAAGGAAUACAUGAGGGAAACGGUUUUAUUUUUGCAGAUACAUGGAAGCUUUAAGAGCUCAGAUGAGGGAGAAGAUAAAACUGUAUAACAUUGACUUGCCUCCUUUGUGCUGCUGUGGCUCUGAUUUCUGGGACUCUCAUCCUGACACCUGUGCCAACAACUGCAUGUUCUACAAAAACCACAAAGAUACGAGCUGAAUAAUGAAGUCCAUGAUGAUGUUUUGUUCUGCCAACCUAUGCCAACACAUACAACUGGAGAAGCUAUUUUUAAAGUUAUUGAUGACUUUAUCAAAAACAAUGACUUGGAUUGGAGUCGUUGUGUUGGAAUAAGCAUGGAUGGCGCCAGAGCCAUGAUUGGCUCGAAGAAAGGAGUUGUUGCACAUAUUCAAGCUGUUGCACCAGAAGCAAAAUCGACUCAUUGUUGCAUUCACAGGGAAGCACUUGCAACCCAGAACAUGCAGGCAGAUCUAAAGCAAGUACUGGAUGAAGCUGUGAAAAUAAUCAAUUUUGUGAAAGGCCGCCCUCUGAACACCUGGCUGUUUUCUCAGCUUUGUGAUGAGAUGGGCAGUGAUUACACACACCUCCUAUUUCACACUGAAGUGCGUUGGCUUUCGUGUGGGAAAAGUUCUGAAUCGCCUGUUUGGAGCUGCAAGAAGAACUGCAAGGUUUUUUUUAGAUGAAACCUUUAACCUGCGAGACCGUAUACACGACUGGAAAUGGCUAUGCAAGCUAGCAUAUAUUGCAGAUAUAUCUUUGCUCAUUUAAACAACCUCAAUCUAUCCUUGCAAGGGAAACUCAUAUCCAUAUUCCAUGUUCAAGACAAUGUGAGCGCCAUGGUCGCAAAAUUGAAACUGUGGCAUAAACGUCUUAGUCAUCGUGAACUGGAUUCCUUUCCAUCUCUUCAUGACUUAGUAAUAAACUCGACUAAUGAACUUGCAAGCGAUGUGUUGCAAACCAUGAAGCAGCAUUUGGAAAGCUUGCAGAAGGAUCUUCAUAAGUAUUUCCCUGAACCGGACGGCACCUUUGAAUGGAUAAGGAACCCUUUUAUCAUCAGUGUUCAAACAUUGCCAAAUAACCUCUCUGCUUCAGAAAAACAACAGCUCUUGGAGCUGGCUUCAGAUAGCUUCCUGAAAACAAAAUUUGAGCAAAAUACACUGACGUCAUUUUGGUUGGGGGUUAGCUCUGAAUAUCCAGCUCUAUCAGAGAAAGCUGUCAAAUAUCUUCUACCUUUUCCCAUCUCGUAUUUAUGCGAGAUCAGAUUCUCUGCACUGGUUGGCAUCAAAACAAAACGAAAUAGUCUUAUUGACGUGGAGCCCCAUCUUCAUCUUAAGAUCACAAACAUUGAGCCAGAUAUCCCCGCGAUAGUGUCUGGUCACAAGCAGUUCCAUCCCUCACACUGAUUUCAAUACCGAAAUAGUAAGUAUUAAAACUAGUGCUUUCUUCUCUAACCUAACCAAACCAGCAUAUUUUAAUUUCAGAAUGAUACGAAUUCACUAAUAUAUGCUGUUCUGCCAGACUGUUUGCUUCUAUUAUUUUAAUUAUUUCUAGUACUAUUUGUAUAUAACUUAUUUCUAUUAAAAUUUUUGUUU